AGGACGAACGCUGGCGGCGUGCUUAACACAUGCAAGUCGAGCGGUAAGGCCCUUUCGGGGGUACACGAGCGGCGAACGGGUGAGUAACACGUGAGCAAUCUGCCCUUCACUUCGGGAUAAGCCUCGGAAACGGGGUCUAAUACCGGACAUGACCGCGCCAUGCAUGUGGUGUGGUGGAAAGUUCUGGCGGUGGAGGAUGAGCUCGCGGCCUAUCAGCUUGUUGGUGGGGUAAUGGCCUACCAAGGCUUCGACGGGUAGCCGGCCUGAGAGGGUGACCGGCCACACUGGGACUGAGACACGGCCCAGACUCCUACGGGAGGCAGCAGUGGGGAAUAUUGGACAAUGGGCGAAAGCCUGAUCCAGCAACGCCGCGUGAGGAUGACGGCCUUCGGGUUGUAAACCUCUUUCAGCGCCGACGAAGCGAGAGUGACGGUAGCGCAGAAGAAGCACCGGCCAACUACGUGCCAGCAGCCGAC
rnacentral:rRNA from 1 species